UACGUAAGGUGCGAGCGUUAAUCGGAAUUACUGGGCGUAAAGCGUGCGCAGGCGGUUUUGCAAGCCGGAUGUGAAAUCCCCGGGCUCAACCUGGGAAUGGCAUUCGGGACUGCAAGGCUGGAGUGCGGCAGAGGAGACUGGAAUUCCUGGUGUAGCAGUGAAAUGCGUAGAUAUCAGGAGGAAUACCGAUGGCGAAGGCAGGUCUCUGGGCUGACACUGACGCUCAUGCACGAAAGCGUGGGGAGCAAACAGG
rnacentral:rRNA from 1 species